CCUACGGGAGGCAGCAGUAGGGAAUUUUCGUCAAUGGGCGCAAGCCUGAACGAGCAAUGCCGCGUGAAUGAGGAAGGUCUUCGGAUCGUAAAGUUCUGUUGAAGGGGAAAAAGAGCGGAGAGAGGAAAUGAACUCCGAUUGAUAUUACCCUUCGAGGAAGUCGCGGCUAACUACGUGCCAGCAGCCGCGGUAAUACGUAGGUGGCGAGCGUUAUCCGGAAUGAUUGGGCGUAAAGGGUGCGUAGGCGGCCUGCUAAGUCUGGAGUGAAAGGUACCGGCUCAACCGGUACAGGCUCUGGAAACGGGCGGGCUAGAGAGCAGGAGAGGGCGGUGGAACUCCAUGUGUAGCGGUAAAAUGCGUAGAUAUAUGGAAGAACACCAGUGGCGAAGGCGGCCGCCUGGCCUGUUACUGACGCUGAGGCACGAAAGCGUGGGGAGCAAAUAGGAUUAGAUACCCCAGUAGUC
rnacentral:rRNA from 1 species